AAACAUAGUGAGGGCAUUUCCUAAGCAUAUCCUUAAAUCUCUCCCAAUUUUCAUAAAUAGAUUCUCCUUCAAACUGGGCAAAGGAAGUGAUAACCUUUCAAAGUUU